GAUGUUUCCCCUGACAAACGUCCUGCCCACCAAUCCCAUCUCGGCAGAGCUGAACUGUGGCAGAGGUGCAGGCUGGCAGGAAUGGAUGUGCCCUGGGCUGCUGCAAGCUCCUGUCCCCAAUCACAUCCAUUCAUGCAGCCCAACUGCCUCCAGGGGCCUCAGAGGGCAGCUCUCAUCACCACUUCCGGCCACUGCAAAAGCUGCCUGGCUGGUCCCGAACUCGUGGGCUCAAGUGAUCCUCCCAUCUCAGCCUCCCAAAGUCCUG
rnacentral:lncRNA from 1 species